rnacentral:lncRNA from 1 species
UAGCCACAUGGUCCAUUAAUUCCAUUUUUCUCCACAUAUGCACCCCCAAAAUUUGGGGGAGUAGCAGGCUGCUGAGAGUACCUACAAGAGUGGGCCAUAUAGAUUGAAGGAUGAGCUGGAUAAGAAAAGUGAAGUCAACAUUUCUGGAGUGGAGACCAAAGGAAUAAUAGUAAGAACCCCUACUCUCCUGUUCAACAGGUAAACUCUACCUUACCCACAUGCAUACAGAUCCUAGUAGAAACAUUAUGCUCUGAAGAGGAAUACUAUUGAACCAAUCGGUUAAGGUGACAGAGAUUAGAGAUGGAUAUCAACCCCUGAAUGUCUAAAGGUCGGGGGAGAGAGCCAGAGUCGAUGCCAGGAUUUGCCAGAAGUCAGAUAAUAAGGAACAAAGUCCUGAGCCAUCUGGUCACUGUGACACUCGGGAUGUCUCUCCGGAGCUUUGCAAACCUUCUAGCGUUCGCUAAAUAGGAACUAUUAGCACCGUCCUUGGUGAAACAGAAGCGGACCCGAGAGGAAUCGGCUCGUCCACACACUGCGGCUCCAUCGCCUCCCGGCUAGUGGAGCUAAACGCAGGCUGAGGACAAAUCCGCGAAGACACCAGACGUGCCGCGGAACUUCUCGCUGCCGCUCCCGUCGUGCCCAGGCUCCGAAGACUAUUUCUAGGGGCGGUUUGUUUGUGUGUCCGCUUUGCCCUGCUGGGUUUGAUCAGGUGACCCGGGAAGAAUUCGCAGCUGGCCCCGACCCUAGAAAGUAGGGGGUUUCACGCUCGGGCUUGUUUUGGUGACUUGGGAGGGAAGCGGGAGGAAGGGAGGCGGAGCUAUUCUAAGGGGGCAAGCUGCGCCGGGAAAUAGUUGAGAUACGGGGGGUGAAGGAGGCUGUGGAAGAGAGUGGGAAGAGAUCUCUGCGCCACAUGUUAGAAGUCCCAGGUCUUGGACCACGGACAGUCACUUGCUCUCUGGAUGACCCUGGAUAAAUCAUUUCCUUCCCUGGGGUUCAUUUUCUUAUAAUAAAAGGAGGGAGGUGGGGGUAGUUGGGUGGCUC